UAGGCCGCUGCUGACGUACUUCUUCGAUCAUGUCCGAUUGCGUCCUUGUGUCCUUUGGUGAUCGUUGUCUUGCGGCGGUGUGCGGCUUCAUGAUGAGACAUCGCCCACGGCUCCAAUUUUU
ensembl:snoRNA C24G7.6 ncRNA